rnacentral:lncRNA from 15 species
UUUUGAAAAGUUGGAUUACAGCGAGCCACUUGAACUGAGAGGAGAUACUGUCUGCCAGAUGCUGCUCGGAGGAUGAGCAGCGGUGCAGCGCAAAUUGGGGAAAUAAGAGGAAUCCCGUGCUGUCAACGAAUUCCAGCAACUUCACAGUGUCACUUAUCGCUCCUGUUCAAAUGGCCGUGUUAUCUACCCGAUCCUCUAUCUGGCAUCUGCACUUGGUCUGCUGCCCGGUGCGCCAUAAACCCACAAGUGUCUUUUAGUUGGUGGAUUUCAAAGUAAAUGUGAGCGGGUGUUUGCUAAGUGAUGUAUUUUGUAUCUAGAAAUGUCCGUUAAUCUUGCGAGAGUUGUGACUGUUUAUCUGGCUCUUAGGUGGGUGAAACACAACUGCACAGUUUUUGAUUUUAAAGUCUUUAAUUUACAAGAUCAAUAAACGAAAUAUAGUCUUCUUGUUAAAGUCCAGGUACAUGUCUGCUUCAGUGUAAUUUACUUGACUAUAUGUUGCUCAAUUAGGAGCCACCAUACCAACACUUAUAUCAAUAUGAUAUAUAAUGCUACACAUACAGUGCAAUUUGUAUGAUGAGAAGUUAACUUAAAAAAUAACUUUUGAUGUUGUAAAUUGUGGUAUUGUUGCAUUGUGUUCUGUGGUAGUGUUUCUUCGCCUGUGUUGACACCUGUAUAUUGAGGGCUCUUCAGACCACUACAUCCUAGUGAAACCAGUCCAAAACCAGAAUAAAUUCCCAACAGUGCAUCUUAAACUUGUGUUUUAGGAUGUGGAACAAAAACAAAUAAAAAAAACAACAUUGUUUUGAAUUUAUGUUAUUCUGCCCUUUUUGUGUAUUUCUUUAACAGAAUUAUGAAACAUAUUCAAGACUAAAACAGCUGAGGUCAGGAUGUGUACAAGCGGAAGAUUUUAACUUGCAAAAUUCAUUUAAUCGUGUACCAGGCAGAACAAACACAUUAGUCCUUCUGAAUACAUAAGAAUUUAAUUGUUAGGGGAGUUAUUGUCCAGGAGUGAUUUUGAUCCUAAUUAGACCCACUUGGGCAGCAUCACGCUGGUGAGAGGACAACAUGUGGUCUCUCAGUCCCUCGUGCAUCUGGUGUUCCACUGUACAGAGUGUGGCUAAUAAAUGUGCCCAUUGUUAGGUAAACACCUCUGACAUAACUAAACAAACAUAUUCAUUACUACC